GCUGGCGGUUGCCUAACACAUGCAAGUCGAACGAGAAAGUUCCUUCGGGAGCGAUUAAAGUGGCGCACGGGUGAGUAACGCGUAGACAAUCUGCCCUUCAGUCUGGGACAACUUUUCUAAAGGAGAGCUAAUACCGGAUAACAAUGUUUAACCUAAGUUAAUGUAUUUGAAAGCUUUAUGUGCUGAAGGAGGGGUCUGCGUCCCAUUAGCUAGUUGGUAAGGUAAAGGCUUACCAAGGCAACGAUGGGUAGCGGGUUUGAGAGGACGAUCCGCCACACUGGAACUGAGACACGGUCCAGACUCCUACGGGAGGCAGCAGUGGGGAAUAUUGCACAAUGGAGGCAACUCUGAUGCAACAAUGUCGCGUGAGUGAAGAAGGCCCUUGGGUCGUAAAGCUCUUUUAUGGGGGAAGAUGAUGACGGUACCCCAAGAAUAAGCACCGGCUAACUAUGUGCCAGCAGCCGCGGUAAUACAUAGGGUGCGAGCGUUGUUCGGAAUUACUGGGCGUAAAGGGCGCGCAGGCGGAAUAGUAAGUCGGAGGUGAAAGCCCGGGGCUCAACCCCGGAGGGUCUUUCGAAACUGCUAAUCUAGAGAGGGUCAGGGGCCGGCAGAAUUCCUGGUGUAGAGGUGAAAUUCGUAGAUAUCAGGAGGAAUACCGGUGGCGAAGGCGGCCGGCUGGGGCCACUCUGACGCUGAGGCGCGAAAGCGUGGGGAGCAAACAGGAUUAGAUACCCUGGUAGUCCACGCCGAAAACGAUGAGCACUGGACGUCCGGAGGGUUCGACCCUUCUGGGUGUCUCAGCUAACGCAUUAAGUGCUCCGCCUGGGGAGUACGGCCCAUGACUACACUCAAUGAUGACG
rnacentral:rRNA from 1 species